UACCCGCUGAACUUAAGCAUAUCAAUAAGCUGAGGAAAAGGAACUAACUAGGAUGCCCUUAGUAACGGCGAGCGAACCGGGCAAAGCCCAACUUGAAAAUCUCCAGCCUCCGGCUGGCGAAUUGUAGUCUAGAGAAGUGCUCUCUGCUCCAGUCCGGCCCCAAGUCCCCUGGAAAGGGGCGUCAGAGAGGGUGAGAACCCCGUUGGGACCGGAUCCUGGUUCUCCACGAGACGCUUUCGCAGAGUCGGGUUGUUUGGGAAUGCAGCCCAAAGCAGGUGGUAAAUCCCAUCUAAGGCUAAAUACAGACGGGAGACCGAUAGCGAACAAGUACCGCGAGGGAAAGAUGAAAAGAACUUUGAAAAGAGAGUUAAAAAGUGCUUGAAAUUGUUGAGAGGGAAGCGAUUGGAUCCUACGGGUGCGCCCAGGCACACGCCUGCCUAACGGUUGGCUGAAUGCGCUGGGUGCUGGUCAGCAUGGGUUGGCCGGGCGGGACAAACCCGGGGGUUGCUACACCGGUUAUGUCGCCUGGCCGACCGAGGAAAGAAGGGCGCUCU
rnacentral:rRNA from 1 species